rnacentral:rRNA from 1 species
GACGAACCAUGCGAACGUUAUUCGGAAUCACUGGGCUUAAAGCGCGUGUAGGCGGGACGGCACGUCUGUCGCUGAAAUCCCCCGGCUCAACCGGGGAACGGGCGCGGAUACGACCGUCCUGGAGGGGCGUAGGGGGACCUGGAACUUCCGGUGGAGCGGUGAAAUGCGUUGAGAUCGGAAGGAACGCCCGUGGCGAAAGCGAGGUCCUGGACGCCUACUGACGCUGAGACGCGAAAGCCAGGGGAGCGAACGGG